rnacentral:lncRNA from 1 species
AUGGUGGAAAGCUGCACUUGAAGUCCAACUCUGUCCUGGGGGAAUAAUUAUGUUCCCUGUCUUGGGAGCCUUUCUUCAGGGAGCUUGAUGGUUCCAACCCACCCAGGAGCCUGGGACAUCUGUGCCCCUGGGCAAUCCCCUGCAGUUUCCUGAUUCCAAGAUGAGGGGGUAGAAUCCGAAGAUCUCCAAGGCCUUGAUGAGUGCUACCAGUCUGCAAAUUCCCAAGCCAAGUUCUUCAAUGAAUCAAAUUUCCUCCAGUAGCCAUUUCUACCAAAGGAGCAACUGUUUUUCCUUCCCACUGACAUGGCUAUGUAUUCGAACUGGAUAUAGGAUCUCUCUCUGCCACCCAGGCUGGAGUGCAGUGGCACAAUCAUGGCUCACUGCAGCCUCAAACUCCUGCGCUCAAGUGAUCCUCCCACAUCAGCCUCCCAAGUAGCUGGGACUCCAGGUAUGAGAGAACAGAAAUAGAGAUUUGGGUGGCUUUAGCUGUUUAAAAUAAGGUGACCAAACCUCCUUUCUGCCUGUUCCUGCUAUUUCAAACACCACUGUUCUCCACACAAUGAAAAUGGCCUUGUUCCUUAAG